rnacentral:rRNA from 1 species
UACAGAGGUCGCAAGCGUUGUUCGGAUUCAUUGGGCGUAAAGGGCGCGUAGGCGGCCUGGUAAGUCGGGUGUGAAAUCUUGGAGCUUAACUCCGAAACUGCAUUCGAUACUGCCGUACUUGAGGACUGGAGAGGAGACUGGAAUUUACGGUGUAGCGGUGAAAUGCGUAGAUAUCGUAAGGAAGACCAGUGGCGAAGGCGGGUCUCUGGACAGUUCCUGACGCUGAGGCACGAAGGCCAGGGGAGCAAACGGG